ACCUUUAUAAAUCAGCUUUACACCUGUAUAUGAUAUAAGAGACAAAAGACGAUAAACUUCAAAUAAAAAGUAAUUAUCUUAUAAAAAAAUAUAAUAGAUUCACUAAUUCAACUAAAUACCCAACUAGGCAAUUAAAAUGAACAGUUGCUUAAAUAAUCUAAGUACCACAAAACCAAAUUAUAUCAUCCAAAAAGCUGAAAUUCUCACAUCCAUAUCUUAAGAAAAUGCCUAAUUAAAACCUCCAACCUUGUGGUUAUUGACCUUCCAGAAAAAACCCUAUCUGCAAAUUCCUCAAAACAUAGACAUAAAUUAGUGAUAUGGUUAUAAAAUUAAAAUAGAAAGCAACAUUAGCAACCAUGUUUGUCUCAUAAAUUAGUGAAAUGGUUAUAAAAUUAAAUCAUGUUUGUCUCAUAAACAAUGGAAAGCAACAUUUGAAAGCUUCAUUGAAGUUUAAAAGUAUUUAUUACUUACAUGAUUUUUUUUCAGCCUAGAUGUUCAUCCCAUUAGCAACCAUAAUUUCCAUAAGUUUGUUGAUAUUUGCACCUUGAUGAACCAAUUGAGUUUUCAAAUCAGACACUUCAGUCUCAAAUUCAGUCACUUGUGUCUUAGAUCAUUUACUUGAGAGUCAGAUAUUUGUAGCUUUUGUUGUGUCUCUUGAAGUUCCUUUUGGAGUUGUUGGGUAACUAAAUCAGAUGAUGUAAUGCGCCUGCUUGGAGGUUUUGGACCAUACUCAAGGCCUUUAAUGUAACUAGGCUAAAGAAGAUGACAUAAUUCCUCAAGCACCGAUGGACAUGAGUUUAAACGAAAAACAGAAGAAAAUAAAUUGGAGAAUUGUAGCUGAGUUGCAGCUGCUACUAGUAUCAAUGCAAGGAGGAGGCCUUGCUUCUGAAAUCAUUGUUGUUGAUCAUAACAGAAUCAUGCCCUUAAACAUAGAAAAUUAAUUCGAGUAAUUAUUUAUGUUCACCCAGUCCACAUAUAGUUAAAGGGGAAAAAAAAUAUGUCAGGCAGGGGUAAGUACAGCACAAACAAGAAGACUAGGGAGAGAAGAAUAAGCUUUACACUUGAAGGUAUUAAAAAUGCCAGCAGGCUAAUGGCACAAUGCCUCAGUUAUCAGUACUCUAUUCCCAAUAAUUCAGCUCCUUUAGAAUUUAUUGUCUCAAACUUUCGGAGAUUACCUUAAGAGUUAUACACCCUCUCCAAAUGUUAAUAAGUAAUUUUGUUCAGCAUACUUUUUCUAGUUCGAGGUGCAUUACCACAAUCAGAUCCAGUACUAAUAGGUGAUGGUUUACUAUAAUUAUGACUACGACAUUCACUAAUAAAAUGCCUUUCAAUAAUAUGGUUCUAGAUUCUUAGGGGUGGGAGUCAUUUUUCCAUUAUUUUGGUUCUUCACAGCAUAAAGCUAUCAGAUCAGAUCAUAUCUACAUAUAGACAUGGCAUAACGUCAAAAUAUUAGUAACGGACCUUGGGGAAUUUUCCAUACUAAAGUUAUUCGCACAUGUGAUUAUUAGCACCAAAGGUACUCUGACCACAUGAAUAAUUUCUUGCAGCGAAAAUGUGUAACCAAUUUAUUUGUGAGUAGAAGAAAGGUAAGUUUAUCUAAUCAUGGAGGAAACAAGACCACUCAGAAUUCCAUAGUUUUCUAGCAUAAAUAUCCCCAACUAUCAGCUGAUCUUACCGAGAGAGCUCAUCUAAUGUAAAAUUCAUUGCAAAAUAAACAUAUUACUUUGGUAAAUAAUUCAGUUAACAAAAAGAACAACCCAUGAUAUAAUGAUUUAAAAAGGUACAAUGAUUUGCAAGUGUAUAUAUAAUAUUCGAUCAGACCAUUCCAUAAUAUAAGCAUGUUUGUUAUUAUAAAUUCGUCCCUAAUCACCUAAAGCUCAUUUAGUUUUUCUAUUUCUCUCUACAUUUUGAAAUUCCAAACCUUUGGUGACCUGAGUUUAAAUGUUAUUUUAAAUUCCAUGAGUCAACUAAAUGUAGAUCAAAACACUUGAGAUGAAAACACAUUCUAUGUGAAAUUUACAAAUAAAAUUAAAAAACAAAAACAAAAACUUUAAGAGAAAGAUUAAACAUAUUUCAGUUCGUACUCACUGAAUUUCAACAGCAGGCAAUGAAACUCAAUAAAAAUCUACUCAUCAGAAACACCUAUUUUCAUGGAAUAAAUUCCUUCACAAUCAUCAUAAUAAAAUGCCAAAUCUAGAAUCAAUGAAAAUUAAAAUUGAUUGACCACCAAAAUCACCACAUAUAACCAAAAUCAGAUUUGAUUUAGCACAAAUGAAUGAACAAGGUGCAUAUAUUACAAAUAAAUAAACUGAGAUUAGAUUUCUUACCGAAUUGAAAGAAGAAAAAUUACCCUAGAAAACGAAAAUUAAUUUUAGAGGAUAGAUGUAAGAGAUAUAGGAGAGAAAAGAACAAGGAUAGAUAAAAGAUAGGAGAGAAGAGGGACAUGUACCUGUGAUGGAGGACAUGAGGGCAAGCGAAGCUACAUGGUGGGAUUGAUCGACAUGUGAAUUUUGGCCAAGGAAGAGAAGACAAACCCAAAUUGUCUCGAUCCUAAAUUUGGCCUCUCUUUCUCCCGACUACGCCACACAACUACAUGCUAAAUUAGGGACUCUGUU
rnacentral:lncRNA from 1 species